rnacentral:lncRNA from 1 species
GCGAGAUGCGACACCGCGGGGCCAGCGCCCCCAGCCGGUGAGCCCAGGACGCGGGCCGCGAUGCCGCAGCCGCUCGGGGCGGGGCAAAGGGCCUGUGGACUCUGGCGUUGGGGCAGGGAAAGCCGGUAGCUCCCGGCGACCGCCCGCGGGGGCAGAUGCUACAGGAAGAGCCUGAAUGACGCGGGUCCAGCCCAGGCGACUGCAGGCCGCGCGAGGAACCUGCAGGGUUGGAACCCCCAGGGAUGAAGGCAGCUCCUCCCGGUUUUCCCCUUCAAAGCCUCUGCCUCUUCUCUCCCAUUUGCAACCCGGGAACCUGCAGAGCAGCCCUGACCACACGGAAGUCAGACUCGGUGCUGAGAAUGAGUCCAAUGGAAGACUCUCUAGGCCGUGUGGCAAGUUUGCUGUGGCUGCUUUUUCUAAUUACUGAGCAAGUACAGAGAUGUCACCAAAGCCCCUCGAUACGACUGUAACAACUCAGCCCCAGCAAGCAACCUGACCCCAGAGAAAUGUAUCUUGACUACAAAGAGGACACAAAGUCCCUUUGAUACUAAAAGUUAUGUGAGGACACAUAAAGACCUGGGACCUCUAGGCGACGGAGGAGAAGCCAUCAACUGGUCCGCGCAGAGCUGAGGCCGCAGAAAGGAUAUUUGCAAAGAGAAGAAAAGGUGUGUCCCCAGAAUGUGAGACCGGACACACUCACAGCCUCAGCUCGCCUGCCUCACGCACGACCUUAAUUCUCUGAGGUGCUUCUCCUCGUGGUUAAAUUUGGUCUUAUUUGCUACCUCCCCACUGUCUGCUGUGUCUGUUUGUCUAUUAUUACUAUAAUAGGGAUGGGACAAGGAGGGAUCCACAACAUUGCCUUUAACCACAAGACAUAGAUAUGUUUCCAAAAAGUCACCUUACUUCCUGAAAUUUAGAAUUAGAGAAGUACCUGCAACGUAGAGAAAUAAUCAUAUUCUUUUAUUUGUUCAGAAAUAGGGGUGUCACCUGGAUGAUGCUGUGUGCUAGACUCAAAGGCCAAUGAUACGUUUCCUACCCUCAGGUUGUUUGAGCCUUGAUGAGGUGAUAAUGAAAUAAAGAGGAGUCCAGGGCAGCCCGGGGGGUGGGG